rnacentral:rRNA from 1 species
AUGAUUCCCUCAAAUACCCCAGAAUUAGCUGAAGCAUUGGCGCUACGGCGUGCGGUGGCUCUCACCUGUGAUGAAGGAUUUUCAAGGGCCGUUUUGCAGUCAGACUGUUUCUCAGUUAUCCAAAGAACCAAUGCUUCAACGGUUGAUCGCUCGCUGAUGGGGCUCAUCACUGCUAAUAUGAAGGAGUUGGCGGCGGUCUUCUCAUCUGUUCGCUUUAGUCAUGUAAAUCGUUUGUCGAAUGUUGCGGCACAUAUUCUAGCUAGAUCUUGUGAGUCCCCUAGUGACUCUAUUUUUCAUGUAACCCCGGAUUGUAUCCGGGAGGCACUCUCUCUUGAUUAUACUUGA